AUACUGUGGGGAUAAGAUCAAGA
rnacentral:piRNA from 1 species